rnacentral:rRNA from 1 species
UCGGGGAUAUUGCACAAUCGGCGAAAGCCGGAUGCAGCGACGCCGCGUGGGCGAUGAAGGCCUUCGGGUUGUAUAGCCCUUUUAUGGGGGACGAGACGAGGACGGUACCCCAAGAAUAAGCGUCGGCUAACUACGUGCCAGCAGCCGCGGUAAAGACGUAGGACGCAAGCGUCAUCCGGAUUUACUGGGCGUAGAGAGCGUCGAGGCGGCUCCGUAAGUCGGGCGUGAAAGCCCCGGGCUUAAGCCGGGGAGGUCGCUCAAUACUGCGGGACUUGAGGGCAGCAGAGGGAGCCGGAAUUCCCGGUGUAACGGUGAAACGCGUAGAUAUCGGGAGGAACACCAGUGGCGAAGGCGGCCUCCUGGACUGUUUCUGACGCUGAAGGCGAAAGCUAGGGGAGCGAACGGGAUUAGAAACCCCGGUAGUCCUAGCCGUAAACGAUGGAUGCUGGAUGUGGGGGGUAUAGAUCCCCUCCGUGCCGAAGCUAACGCGCUAAGCAUCCCGCCUGGGGAUUACGGCCGCAAGGCUUAAACUCAAACGAAUUGACGGGGGCCCGCACAAGCAGCGGAGCGUGUGGUUUAAUUCGAUGCUACACGAAGAACCUUACCUGGGCUUGACAUGUAGGUAGUAGUGAAGCGAAAGCGGAACGACCCUUCGGGGAGCCUACACAGGUGCUGCAUGGCUGUCGUCAGUUCGCACCGUGAGACGUCGGGUUAAGUCCCGUAACGAACGCAACCCUUGCCCUUAGUUACAUGUGUCUAAGGGGACUGCCCGGGACAACUGGGAGGAAGGUGGGGAUGACGUCAAGUCAGCAUGGCCUUUAUGUCCAGGGCUACACACACGCUACAAUGGCCGGCACAAUGGGUCGCCAAGCCGUGAGGCGGAGCCAAUCCCCCAAAGCCGGUCUAAGUUCGGAUUGUGGGCUGCAACUCGCCCAUAUGAAGCUGGAGUUGCUAGUAACCGCGCGUCAGCAAUAGUGCGGUGUAUACGUUCCCGGGCUUUGUACACACCGCCCGUCACG